ensembl:lncRNA
CUUUAGGAUGUUUUUGAGAUGCACUUUGCCAAAAUUCCCGAUGAAGCUGUUGCAAGUGUUCCUUUGCCACAGCCUACAAGAGAAAUGACAGAAGCUUAUUCCAGUGAGAGCAGUAAUGAUGACUCUUCAGAAGAAAAAUCAUCUGAAGACUCUGAACAAGAGAGAACAGAGCACCUUGCAAAGCUUCAGGAGCAAUUGAGAACAACGCUGAGUCCAGUAUGGGACCAAGCAGACUAAGCGACAGCAGUAACAGCAGCAGCUCCUUAGACUCUGGCAGCAGUACUAGCAGUGGUUCUGGUUCUAGCUCCUCAGAUAGCAGUGACCCUGAAUCAGUUACAGAAACCUGCUCAAAACAGACUGGAGCCAUGCAGAACUGUCCAACUUCUAUGGAAAAGGCUAAGAGAAUACCGCUGUGUUUACAGAGGAUAUCCUGCAAUGCUGUUCUGCAAGCACAGCCCUCACCUCUUACUAGUAGCUUGCAAAAUUGUGGAUCAUCUGAACUGCAGCAGCCACCUCCCAAUGUACUGCAGAGGCUCCAGCCUUUACAGAAUAGAUCAUUUAAACCAUCAGAACAAAACGCCCCGUCUCCCUCAGGUGUAAUCUCAGCUGUAUCUGCUCUGCAUGGUGCUCCAGACCAGCAAACUCCUCAGAGUACUCCAAGGACAAAUCAGUCUUCUGUCACCCAGUGCACACAUGCUUUUCCAGAGGUAUCCAAUGCAACUUCCCAGGUUGACAGUGCUGAUUGGAGUAAACAAGCUGAGAAAACAAUACAACUAGACAAAUCAAAUAAACUUCAGAACAAGGCCAGUGAGAGAACUGCUGAUUCAGUAUCCAUAAGUCAAGGACAGAGUCAUCGUACACCUAAUGAUAAACCUAAUGAUAAAAACAUGCUAAAGCUAAAUUCCAAAAUUCUUCCAAGAAAGGAUACAGGAUUUAAGAAUAUAGAUUCCUGGGUAAACUUAUGUAAAACAAUGAUGCUUCCAGCUCCAAUAAAAACAUCUGCUGAGAGUUUCAAACAGUUCAGGAAAGCAGCAUUAAAGAAAAAGAGUGGGCAAGCACAGGAGUUAAAAAGGCCUCCGGUCCAAGCCAAGAGGGAAAUGCACAACCUUCCUCAAGAAAAAGAGAGGUGCCAUGAAGGCACAGGAUUGAAUGCCAUGGCAGUGACAGACUGUGAGCCCCAAAAAGAAGGGCAUAAGAGCAAACAACUGCCUGAAGCUCAACAAGGUACUCUUGUUCAAGACCGUAAUUUGGCUAGAAAAAUGGAACAGGAACGCAGGAGGAGAGAAGCAAUGGCUUGUAUAAUUGAUAUGAAUCUGCAGAGUGAUAUUAUGGCAUCUUUUGAAGAAUACCUUGAGUGAAAGCUGUGGUUAAUAUAGAACUUCAACACUACUACAAACUACAACUUUGAAAAUGUACUAGUUAGAAGCUUAAAUGUUAAGACCACUUUAAAGAGCAUGUAAGCUCCUCUAAAAUGCUUAAUAUUAAAAGCUUGUUCAUUGACACCUGAAGCAUCACAAGAUCUUUUUGCUGCUUGUUUAUAAUAUAUGUAAUCUAGUCUGCUACACAGUGGAAUGUAGUUAUUUCAAUUACAGUUUCAUAUGUUGUGUGUGUAUAUAUAUAUGAGAAAAUAUCAGCUUUUUGAUUCUUUUCUCAUUUUUUUAAACCAAUUUUUUUCAGAAACACUUGAGAAUCUGUUAUACCAAGCACAGCCAAACUCUUGUUUGACUGUAUUAAAUCAUAGUAUGCUAAAUAUGCACCUAUAGAAACUACUUUAAACCAAGGUCUUGUCAAUUAUGUGAUUGCUAUUAAAACAAUCACUUUACUAUGACACACUUGCACAGAAUCUGGGCUGUGACAAAAGACCUCUAUAAUAGUGAUAAUUUCUAAAGGGUGUGUAACAUUAUUUGUAAUCGUAAAAAAACGUUUCCUGGAACUCUGUAAUUUCAGCAGCAAAUCCUGUAUAUUUGCAUGUCUUUUAAGGCCCAGACACGUUGAUAUUCUGUUUAAUGUAUUUUAUGUUAACGUAACAUUUGGAUAAGGGUGCAAACACAUUUGCCAGAUAGUUCUGGUUCUUCACAGAAGGAAAUUAGCUAAAACAUCCCACCUCUGGCUCCAGUUUGAAAGGCUUUCUGAUUAAUGCAAGUUUUUAUUAAUGUUGGGAUACUUGUCUGAAGUAGAAACUACAGUGUUCUCGUUGAUUACAUAUAGCUAUCUCAAAUUAAGUAUGGGACUAAUAAAACAUUGUUUUAUAAAAUUAAUACCAAAACACAAUGUGCAUUACAGAAAUGUUGGGUGGAAGGGGCCUCCUUGAGGUAAUCUAGUUCAGUGGUCUCCAAACCUUUUUCGUCAACCACCCCAUUAUUAAAAAAUUUUAAGCAUGCAUCCCAAGACGUGUAUUUAUUCAUUUAUAAAUUAUAUACAUGUUCUACUGUACUAAUAUAUUAUUUAC